UAGUACGGCGAGUGAGCGGCAACAGCUCAAAUUUGAAAUCUGGCGUGCUCAGUGCGUCCGAGUUGUAAUCUAUAGAGUCGUUUUCCGUGCCGGACUGUGUCCAAGUCCCUUGGAACAGGGUAUCAAAGAGGGUGAUAAUCCCGUACUUGACACAAUGACCGGUGCUCUGUGAUACGUCUUCUACGAGUCGAGUUGUUUGGGAAUGCAGCUCAAAAUGGGUGGUGAGUUCCAUCUAAAGCUAAAUAUUGGCGAGAGACCGAUAGCGAACAAGUACCGUGAGGGAAAGAUGAAAAGCACUUUGGAAAGAGAGUUAAACAGUACGUGAAAUUGUUAAAAGGGAAACGAUUGAAGUCAGUCGUGACUGAGAGGCUCAGCCGGUUCUGCCGGUGUAUUCCCCUCAGUCGGGUCAACAUCAGUUUUGUUCGGUGGAUAAGGGCAGUUGGAAGGUGGCACCCUCGGGUGUGUUAUAGCCAGCUGUCGCAUACAUCGGAUGAGACUGAGGAAUGCAGCUCGCCUUUAUGGCCGGGGUUCGCCCACGUUCGAGCUUAGGAUGUUGACAUAAUGGCUUUAAACGACCCGUCUUG
rnacentral:rRNA from 1 species